rnacentral:rRNA from 1 species
GACGAACGCUGGCGGCGUGCCUAAUACAUGCAAGUCGAACGCAGUGGGGACGGGUGAGUAACACGUGGGUAACCUCCCAUCAGAGGGGAUAACUCUUGGAAACAGGUGCUAAACCGACAUUGAUGGAUGGAUCCGGGGGGGAUUCGCUAGUUGGAGGGGUAACGGCGCACCAAGGCCACGAUGCAUAGCCGGCCUGAGAGUGUGAUCGGCCACACUGGGACGGAGCCACGGCCCAGACUCCUACGGGAGGCAGCAGUAGGGAAUCUUCGGCAAUGGACGAAAGUCUGACCGAGCAACGCCGCGUGAGUGAAGAAGGCUUUCGGAUCGUAAAGCUCUGUUGUUAGAGAAGCGGUAUCUAACCAGAAAGCCACGGCUAACUACGUGCCAGCAGCCGCGGUAAUUC